rnacentral:rRNA from 1 species
UACGAAGGGUGCAAGCGUUAAUCGGAAUUACUGGGCGUAAAGCGUGCGUAGGUGGUUUGUUAAGUCUGCUGUGAAAGCCCUGGGCUCAACCUGGGAAUGGCGGUGGAUACUGGCAAGCUAGAGUACGGUAGAGGAUGGUGGAAUUCCCGGUGUAGCGGUGAAAUGCGCAGAUAUCGGGAGGAACACCAAUGGCGAAGGCAGCUCGCUGGGACGUUACUGACGCUGAGACGCGAAAGCGUGGGGAGCAAACAGG